UCCGGCUUAACACCGGCAGUCUCCCUAGAGUCCCCAACUUAAUGAUGGUAACUAAGGACAGGGGUUGCGCUCGUUGCCGGACUUAACCGAACAUUUCACAACACGAGCUGACGACAGCCAUGCAGCACCUGUCUCCGUGCUCCCGAAGGAGAAACCUCAUCUCUGAGGCGGUCACAGGAUGUCAAGGCCAGGUAAGGUUCUUCGCGUUGCUUCGAAUUAAACCACAUACUCCACCGCUUGUGCGGGCCCCCGUCAAUUCCUUUGAGUUUUAGCCUUGCGACCGUACUCCCCAGGCGGGUUACUUAAUGCGUGAGCUUUGGUACUCAGCGGGUUAAUCCGCCAAACACCUAGUAACCAUCGUUUAAGGCAUGGACUAC
rnacentral:misc_RNA from 1 species